GACAGAGGGUGCAAACGUUGUUCGGAAUUACUGGGCGUAAAGCGCGUGUAGGCGGCUCUGCAAGUCGGAUGUGAAAGCCCUCGGCUCAACCGUGGAAGUGCAUCCGAAACUGCAUGGCUGGAGUCUCGGAGAGGAAGGUGGAAUGCUUGGUGUAGAGGUGAAAUUCGUAGAUAUCAAGCAGAACACCUGCGGCGAAGGCGGCCUUCUGGACGAUGACUGACGCUGAGACGCGAAAGCGUGGGGAGCAAACAGG
rnacentral:rRNA from 1 species